rnacentral:tRNA from 1 species
UAUACUUUAGUGUAUUGUCACAAUAAUUUUUGAUAUUAUUAGAAUUAGUUUGAUUGCUAUUAUGUAUAA